rnacentral:tmRNA from 1 species
GGGGUCGUUAAGGAUUCGACGGGUAUAGGUCGAGCCUGGAUUGCGCUUCGUGCGGCGUCACGUUAAUCCGUCCAGUUUAAAUUAUAACUGCAAAAAAUAAUAACAAUUCUUACGCUUUAGCUGCCUAAUAAGCGCUUAACGUAGAUCCUCCUAACUUCGUCCACGGGUUAGAUCUGGGUCCUAAAUUUAGUGGACUCACGCUAUUCGCUCCCACCUGAAGUAGAUAGAAGAGAUUAAUCAGGUUAGUCAUUGAUGGGUGCCUUGAUUUGCGGCGUUUUCAAUGGCGAAUUUUAAAUAGUAGAUCUAUGAGCGUAGAUAUCUAGGUGCCGAUAUGCUCGGACGCGGGUUCGACUCCCGCCGACUCCA